rnacentral:rRNA from 1 species
CUGAAACAUCUAAGUACCCCGAGGAAAAGAAAUCAACCGAGAUUCCCCCAGUAGCGGCGAGCGAACGGGGAGCAGCCCAGAGCCUGAAUCAGUAUGUGUGUUAGUGGAAGCGUCUGGAAAGGCGCGCGAUACAGGGUGACAGCCCCGUACACAAAAAUGCACAUGCUGUGAGCUCGAUGAGUAGGGCGGGACACGUGGUAUCCUGUCUGAAUAUGGGGGGACCAUCCUCCAAGGCUAAAUACUCCUGACUGACCGAUAGUGAACCAGUACCGUGAGGGAAAGGCGAAAAGAACCCCGGCGAGGGGAGUGAAAAAGAACCUGAAACCGUGUACGUACAAGCAGUGGGAGCACGCUUAGG